rnacentral:lncRNA from 1 species
CCCCCCCCCCUUUUUUGAUGAAUAUUGGUUUGUGGGUUUUGUUUUUGAAAUUCUUGGGUUGAAAACGUUGUAGAUUGGGGAGCCAUCGGCAGCUGCCAGGAUAUCUCAAAGAUUGAACAAGUUUGUCCACGAUGUUGAUGCAUCCAAUAAGUACUGAAAGGUACUGUCUUAAUGGGGUAAAUAAUCUGAAUCAUUGAUCUUAUAAACUACACCUAUUGUUAUGAAAUUAUAAAUGAUGUUUUCAAUUCCCCAUAUGAAAUCUUCUUGUUGUUUUAGGUUGGAAAUGGUGUUACUGAAUAUUUGGAAUAUAACACAGAAUCUAUUUUCCUGAAAUAUGCCACCUUUAUUUACAUAUGAAUUUCUAAUGAAUUAAUGUUUUUUUUUUCUUUUAAUUUUUAUAAAUUCAAAUAAAUAUUAGCCUAUUUUACUUGUUUCUAUUUUCGUUAGUCUUGUAUGUAAAGUACAUUUUAAAGCAAAGAAAGAAAGCCUUAACUUGUUUGGACCGAUGAAUCGCAAUACUUAACUCUUAAGAUUAUUAGCAAGAUGGUUGUUAAAAAAAAUGUAGGAGAUUCAAGUCAUACAGUCGCUUAAUUUUCAAAAAUAAUAUUCGUGAAAGAUUGGAAGAAAAGGUUUUCCCACCUAAGAAAAGCAUGUAAGUUUAGUAUAAAGGCAUGUUUGUAAUUUUCAGUGAAACUUCCUUUUGUUCUUUUUAGAUUAAUGGCAGGACAUAUAUUUACAUGGAAUGAGAAUUCAAUUAUGUUAUGAACAAAAAGGAAGUCAGUCAAUUGUGGAAGUCUUUGGAGAAGUUCUUAGGAAGUUGGAUCAUAUAAUAUUAUAAUACAAUAUAUGUAUGUUUGUUAAAAUUAUAUAAAUUCUAUUCUAUGUAUGAAAAAAGAAUAAAUUCAUCUGUAUGUAUUGAAUGACGUUUGCUUGCCUUUUUUUCUUUAUUUUUCUUCAAUUAAUUUAAAACAUCAUAUUUGUAGACUGGUGCAGAAGUAUAAAUAACACUUUAUUUUUAUAUAACGUUUACAAAUUUUGCUAUACAGUAGAACUCGUGUAUUGACCUGAGUAUGGUUUGAGUUUAAAUCACAGUACUUGUUUUGUUAUUAAAAUUUCACCUUCCUCUUAUAAUUCGUCAAAAAAAAUAUUAUCUUAAUAAAGUGAAAGUUGAAUAUACUAGUCAUUUUGCACUCACGCUACAAGUUGGAUUAAUUAUUUUUUUAAUUAUAAAGUAAACUUUUAAAUGUUAUAAUAUGUUAUAAUUUUUUAUAUUUGAAAUUUAGUUCUCAUACUUUUAUGUUAAAUUUAAAGUGAAUUUAAGUAAUGAAUAUUUUUUUCUCCAUAAAUUAAUGGAUAAUUAUUUAGUACACGAACAACAGAAAGUUUUUAUUCCACAAGUAGAGUUUAGAUUUUACCAUGUUUUUAUUUUAAUUUUUUAAAUACAAUUUAAGGAUAUAUAGCAAAAUCUCAAACCUACACGUGGAGCUAUAACUUUCCACCGCUAAUGUAUCAGAUAAAUAUUUUAAAUUAAUAUUGAAUAAUAGAUCUAAUAUUCAAAUAUGUAAUAUAUAAAUCGAUAAAAGAUAAAUUGAAUAAUUAACUUUUAUUAAACAUUUAAUGACUAUAUAAAACGAAAGAUUAGGGUUAGGUAUAGAUUAUCUUAGGUCAUAUUAUGGUAUUGGUCAUUCUACUAUGCUUACAUUUACGAUUUAAUCUAUAUACUUUUGUUUGAUCUAGUUUGGUCCCUCUAUUAUUAUAAUCUCGUUAGUCUCUAUUAUUAUAAUCCCGUUAGUUAAUCCAAAUAAUUAGCAUCCUUAGGGUAUGUUUCUAUAACAUAUAAUAAUUGGAUGAAAGUGUAACUACUAGGGUAGUAAUUUACAAAGAAUUGUAAUACCCUAGGUAUAUUUGGCUGAUAGAGUGUAAUUACAUCGUAAUCUCAUAAGUCAUGUUCAAUAGUACAAAUUGUAAUUGCACAAUUACGUAACUUGUAUUUUUAAAAAUAUUUAUUACUAUAAAAAAUUAUCAAUACGAUAAAAUAAUUUCUAAACGAGUAGCAAAAAUUAAAAUCAAAUCAUAAUAUGUAAUAUAUUAGUCCAAGAAAGUAGUUGAUAAUAUGACGACUAAUAAAAAUAACAAGAAAAAUAAAUAUUAUAAUGCAAUUUUAUCUAAUUUCUCUAGCAUUCCAUAUUAUUGGGUUAUUCCCUCUUUAACAUUUAACACAUGUCCAUUACUCAUUAUCAUCAUUUGUUGGUCCUUAAUCGAGUCCAUAAUCCAAAUCUGAAUCUAAAUCUAAAACUUUGUAUAUGUCAUUAAGAUUAUCAAGAUCUCCUUAUUCCAUAUACUUUUUGUAUGCAACAUGCUUGUACAACCCAACCUUUUUUUUUAUGCUAUAUUGAGGUGAUAUUGUUAAUAUAGGAAAUCUUUUUUAGAACAACAAAUAUUCUCUAAACCACAUUUCAAAGCUUCGAAUGUUUUAAAUUAAAGAGUUUGCAAGUACACAUUUUAUAUCAUAUAGCAUGGAAUGAAAUAAGUUAUGUCCAUAUUUUUUACCAUAAUUUUUUAUAUAUAAGUAUAUUAUAACACUUUUAGCUUUUAUAAAUUUUUUUAUAUUAUACAUUUUAGCCAUAACUUCAAAAAAAAUUAGAAUUUACAUAAUAUAAUUUUUCAUAUAAUUUUAUAAAAUUAAGAUACACAUAAAUUUCUUUUUACAAUAUAAAUUUUUUAAGAUUUAUAGUAUUAUUUUAGAAUUUUUUUGACAUAAUCACCCCAAACACUUAUAUGUGUUCAUACUUAUAAUAUAAUUUUUAUAACUUAAACUUGUAUAAAAAAUAAUUUCUUAAACUUAAAUCAUGUAAAACCAAUGUGCUAUAUAAGUGAAUAGUUAUAUUGGGAAUAUGUGUGAUAUAUCAGUAAUAGAAAACAAGGGUAUUCGAUACUGAAGGAAGUUGAAAUAAGUAAUAUGUUGUUAGAUAUUAAUUUGAGGUAUGGAUUAAACUUUUAAAAAAAAGAAAAUUGAAGGGGUUAAAUCAUAAAUAUUCAAAAGUUGAGGGGUUAAAUUAAAAAUAUAAAAAAUUUGAAGGACUAAAGUUACAAUUAUACCAAAAGUUGGAAUGGCUCAAUUGUAGAUAUUAAAAAUUUUCAAAGGCAAAAUAAUUAUUUUGCAAGUGAGAUAAUUUUGGUAAAAUUACCAAAAUGCUCUUAGACACAGUGUAUUGAAUUUGAGCUAUUGGAUUUGCUUGAUGAUGAAGGUAAUAAGGGCGAUUGGAUCAAAGAUAAAUAUAUUUAUUAUAAUUAUUAAUCAUGAAGUGUUGGCACAUCUUGAGCCAUUGGAUUUUGAUGGAAAGUGAGAUGAAAUAUUAGCCAUUAGAUUGAAAUUAUUAUUAUAAGAUAUUUUAUAUUAUUUUAUGAUUAUAAAAAGAGAAUAAUGAAUAAUUUUCUUCAUUCAUCCAUGCAUCACAUGUCCAUAGCAUGGAGGAAGAGAGAAAAUUUUGGUUCUCUUACAAUUCGGUUCUCCAUUAAAUUUCAACUUUUCAACCCUAAAUCUUAGAAAUAUAUGUAACGCCUAAAACCCGACCCGAUUCACUGGGUCUGGAUCCCGAGUGUUACUAAACGAUACAAAUUACUUAACAAAAAUAGUUUACAAUGUCUCAUUUAUUUUAAAAUUGUUAUUUGUAGCUCCAAAAGAAAAGCUUAACAUUUGGUAAUUUAAAAUAAAAUAUAUGAUAAAUAACUUAUUACAUCAUAUUUGAUACAUGUCUUUACAAGUUUGAAUUUUGUUUUAAGGCAGACUCAAAAGGCAUAUUCAAUAUUGCACCAUAAAUCCAUUGUAUGCAUAAUAGCCCACUCCACCACCAUCUUGGCGUAGUCCUAGCGUUGUCCCUCCAGGCGAAGCCUCUUCAACAACAAACCUAAAAAUAAUAACAAACCUUGUAAGUACAAAAGUACUUAAUGAACCCUACUAUAACCAUACAUUUAUGGAUACAUUGCAAUCUUGUAUGAAUUUGUACGAGUCAACCAUAUUCUGCACCAUUUAUUUCGGCGAUACCAUUACAAUGUUAUCAUUCUUUUAUACGCCAGUUAUCAUGUCCUUAUCAUAAUUAAUCUUCCAUAUCUUGUUAACUGAGGAAUCCUUCCAAUCAUUUCAUAAAUUCCUUGUCCCAUAAUACUUACCUAACAGAACAUACCCUUAGAAACUACUUCCAACAAUCCACACCUUAAUCCAUUCUCUUAUUUCAAACAACUACUUACUGACAUUAUCUUAGGUGGAUACAUAUAUAUGGCAGAUACUUAUGCAGAGUUUCAUACCAUUGGUUCACACUCAGACAUACCCUGAUCCAGAUCUGUACACAUAUUCAUACUGAUAAUCCACUACGUAUAACAUCCAAAUGAACUCCAUAUCAUGCUAUAUCAGAAUCUCAUAAUUCAAAAUGCCAUUAACUCAAAUUCAGAAUAAAUUUAGAAGAAGAUGUAAUAUCCCUCACUUUUCAUAUUUAUAGUUUAUUAUGAUAGAUACCCUUCUCAACAUACAGAUAUACAUUUCUUUUCUACAGAACCCUUAUGACUUUAUUCAACUCUUAUUCUUGAGCAUAUCAAUAAUUUAUCUUGGUCAUACUUAUUACAAAAGAGACAAAGAUUCAGAUUCAUAGCUUACAAAAUAUUCCUGAUAGUUAACACCACAUAAACUUAGCAAAGCACACCAUACAUGCAAUCAGAUAAAGUACGCCACUAAGGAGAUCCAUUUAGAGUUCGCCACAAAUGCAUUCCAUUUAGAGUUCGCCACAAAGGCUAUUCUUUGUUGUCAUGUUUACGAUAUGGAUUUUCUUAAACUCACAUUACAUGAGGUUUGCCCAUCAUCGUCCUGGGAUACACGGAGAACCCCAUUGGGUAAUCACCAUUCCCUAGUUCUUUUUCAGAGGGUACCAUGACCAUGGACUUUUCCUUCAGAGUUUAUAUCAGAAUUUAUGUUUUUAGUCCCAACGGACUCCAUUAGACACCACUACGAUGAACAGACCCAGACUCUCUUAACAGACACUUUAUGUAUUGACACAAUCUAAAUUCAACCUUUUUACUUCACUAACAUACACUCAAUCAGAACACACACAUCUCAUAGCAUACAUUUCAGACAUAUACAUACUCAACCAUACUUCAAUGUUUCAAUACUCGUACACUAAUGAUCAUAUAAUAUACUUUUCAUGACUUCGAAUCCAUUGUUCAAUCAGUUUCCUAUAGAUGACUCACAAUAUGAUCAGUAUACAUACAGGAGUCAACAUAAAACUCACCUGACGCCCACGUACAGCACCUUAAACUCCAGAUUCAAACUUCCAUCAUGAAACUACAGCAACCACUGCUUACAAAACAUAGGAACACCAUUAAAACUCUUUCGCAUACUAUUUACCAUCAUCUCGAGCAUAGAUAACCCCCAUGCAAAGCUUUAUUUCUCCAUCUUACUGUUAAUAUACCCAUACAAACUUAAACUUUCAUAACUUAACAUGCAGAGCCAUAAUACUUACCUUGACAUGGAGUAUCUACUGAUAAAAAUAUAGAAUUACAACUUCCAGCUUAAAGAAGAAAGAAAUGUUUUUGGUUCCUUAAAAAUAAGAUAAUAACACUUUAGAAGAAGGAAGAAGAAAACUCUCCUUUUUUUCAAACUUGAAUACAUAUAUAUACAACUUAUAUCCUUAUUAUGGAACUUGACAUGUGUCACAAUCUUUCAAAAUUGUCCUUAUUUUGGUCUACGACCCUUGAGAAGAACACAAAUGAUCAUCCAAUAAGUUUAUUUAUACCUAACUCAUCUACUCAAUUGAUUCCUAACCAGAAUGUUUACAACGUAACUAGCAUAGUAAUUUCAAUCAAACUUGGCGUACAAUACCUUUGGUAUUAACCCAACUUGCAAUUUCCCCAAUACUUUUACCGAGCUCUUAUUCUUUACAACUCAACACAUUUUAAGGUCAUUCUUUACCUAAUAUCUCAACUUCUGUUAUGUGCCCAUUCUAUACGCCUAAAAGAAACUAUUGGACGGAUAGAACUAUGCCACAUAUAUUACUCUCAAUUUACGCGCCAAAACUUAAGACCUGCCAAACCAAAGAUGCUACAAUUUCUAUAGCAACCAAAGAUAAGAAAGUGAUGAAAGUAUUAUAGACAAAGGAAAGAAAGUGAUAAAAGUGUGAAAGGAAGAAAAUAGAAGCAAAUAGAGUGAAAUUUAGCUAAAAAGAGUGUCCUGAAAGUGAUCAUGUGAAAAGUGUUCGUGAGUGGCUUACCGAAUCAUAUCGCAUCAACACAGUAAUAUGGAAAAGUAUGAAUUUCAAUUUAUGGACAAUAAUGUGGCAUGUACUUAGGUAAGGAAUGUGUUAAGUAGAUAGUGAAAUGCCUUGAAAACAAGUUUUGUUGAAGUGGGAAUGUCUUGAAGAUUGUGUGGUUAAUGAUUAGUGAUUGAACAUGGAUGUGUUACAUGAUGUUUUGAAGGUAUGUAUUGAGGUAUUUUAAAGAAAAGAAUGGAACUUAAGUGAUGUAUUAAUCUUGAAAUGUGACAUCUUUUGCUCGAGUUAUUGAUUUGACUCGUGUAAGGGAUGUUACAAUCGUUGAUUCUAUAAGAGUAGGGCCAAGUUGUAUAUCCAAUCACAUCCUAGUAGAGCACUCCAAGGCUCUACUACUAGCACUAUAUGGUCUUACAUUAUACGAUACCUAUUUAGUGGAAGCCACAUCAAACUCCUCUGUAUAACCCUCUUCGUUUUUAAAAAAAAAACUCCAAGCACUUAACACACCAUUGAAACCCUGCCCAACUUUUUACAUCUUCUUUAGUGGAUCUUAGUGUACUAGUGUGAACCACAUCCAACUAUGAUCUCAACCUUGUUUAGUGCUUCUCAACACACCUUUACGAACCAUGUUUGACUAUUGUCUAAAUGUUGCAUUGGCAAAACUAUAGUGAUAACAUAAAAAAAUUAUUAAUAUAGGCCACUUACAAAGCUAAGCUUUUAAUCUAAGUAUUUAAUAUUUAAAUUUUAAUAUUAAAAUGUCACUUAAAAAUUAAAUAUAAAACCACUUUUAAGUUUUACAUUAGUGCAAGGAGAUUCUUCCCACUUAAAAUAUAUUUAUUUGAGUAGCACUCAAAUAGUGGAGGCCCAAUUAGAGAUCCGAGUUCUCAUAUAAAUGUAAACAAAAGGCCCAAAUUCCUAUGGUAAACCUGUCAUUUAAGACAAUGUAGAUCCCCUCCGUCGGACUAGGGUUUUCUUUUAUCUUCUUACACACUUUUACUCUUUAUACACUUCGGCUCCACUGCAAGCAAAAUCUAGAGAUCCGUCGACAAUGGUAGGAGUUUUCGAAGUAGGCGCCGUUCCGUUUAAUCCUGACGGCUGGGGUCCGCCCGACUCCACCACCGCCACCGUGCCGUCCACCACCACCACUCUCCCUCCUCACGUUCCUUUCGCUCCCUUCUCCCGCUCUGAAAAACUCGGCCGAAUCGCCGACUUCACCCGAUCUUUUGCAAAUGCCAACCCAUCUAACCGCCCUUCUUCAGGGAAGCCUGGCGCAGCCUCCUCAGAGUCGCCCUUCGAUUUCUCGCUCGACCUCGAUACUUUCCCUCUUGCGUACCCCGAAGACGAUUCUUCCUUCCGUUUAGUCGACGCAAAGCCGCCCACGCGGCCUAAAUUUGGCCCCAAGUGGCGCUUCAACCAACACCGACCUCAACUUCCUCAACGGCGAGAUGAAGAAGUUGAGGCCCGUAAAAGAGAAGCUGAAAAAGAACGAGCCCGACGUGACCGUCUUUAUAAUCUCAACCGAUCGAACCAGAACCAGCAACGUCGUGAAGCUGCGAUUUUCAAAUCCUCCGUCGAUAUCCAACCAGAGUGGAACAUGCUGGAUCAAAUCCCUUUCUCAACAUUCUCCAAAUUAUCCUUUUCCGUUCCAGAACCUGAAGAUUUACUUCUCUGCGGUGCUUUAGAGUAUUACGAUCGCUCCUUUGAUCGAAUUACCCCGAAGAACGAACGGAGACUCGAGAGGUUCAAGAACAGAAACUUCUUUAAAGUCACCACGACUGACGACCCGGUGAUCCGAAGAUUGGCAAAUGAGGACAAAGCAACUGUUUUCGCCACUGAUACGAUUCUGGCAACGUUAAUGUGUGCACCCAGGUCAGUUUAUUCUUGGGACAUUGUGAUUCAACGUGUUGGGAAUAAACUAUUUUUCGACAAAAGAGAUGGGUCACAGUUAGAUUUGCUAUCAGUCCACGAGACCUCUCAGGAGCCAUUGCCUGAAGCUAAAGAUGAUAUUAACUCUGCUUAUUCAUUGAGUGUUGAAGCAGCUUACAUAAAUCAGAAUUUUUCACAGCAGGUUUUGGUUAGGGAUGGGAAUAAGGUUAGUUUUGAUGAGCCGAACCCAUUUGCCAAUGAAGGUGAUGAGGUGGCUUCUGUGGCAUAUAGGUAUAGGAGGUGGAAACUUGAUAAUGAUAUGUAUUUGAUUGCACGGUGUGAGGUUCAGAGUGUUGUUGAAGUUAAUAAUCAAAAGUCUUUCCUCACUUUGAAUGCGCUUAAUGAGUUUGAUCCCAAGUAUUCUGGUGUUGAUUGGAGGCAGAAGUUGGAAACACAAAGGGGGGCAGUCUUGGCUACCGAGUUGAAGAACAAUGCGAAUAAGUUGGCUAAAUGGACUGCUCAAUCAAUAUUAGCUAGUGCCGAUUUGAUGAAAUUGGGUUAUGUUUCGAGGGUUCAUCCUAGGGAUCAUUUUAACCAUGUGAUAUUGGGUGUUGUUGGUUAUAAGCCAAGGGAUUUUGCUGCACAAAUUAAUCUGAAUACUGCUAAUAUGUGGGGGAUUGUGAAGUCCAUUGUGGAUUUGUGUAUGAAGUUGAAUGAGGGGAAAUAUGUGCUUGUGAAGGAUCCAUCAAAGCCUCAAGUUAGGAUUUAUGAGGUCCCAGCUGAUGCUUUUGAGAACGAUUAUGUGGAAGAACCAUUGCCAGAAGAGGAGCAGGUUCAGCCACCUGCGGAGGAUACUGAAGCUGGGGAGCCGAAUGGCACUACAAAUGAUGUUGAGGCAAAAGAGACUGAGACACAAACUUAAUGGUAAUGGUUCCUUGGGAUUUUUCUUAAUAUAUUCCUCUGCAUUUUGUGUUGUGCCACUAGACUAUUAUCUCAAAGACUUCCAUGCAAGUUAAUUUCCCUUAUUCUUAUGUUAGUACUUGGCAUGUUGUAUGGAUCCAAAUAUUAUUGAGUUAACCACAGUGUGACAGUACCACAUACUAGUAUUUAUAACUUGAUUUUCUUUCUUUUUUUAAUAUACAAAUCGUUUGUAAUCAUAUGAAACUUGGCUUUUCAUGUUAUCUUAUCCUCCCUUAAUGAUGUUCAAUUUUCUUUUCUAUUUUACCAUUGCUCAUAAAAUUUUAAGAGGUUAGAAUUGUUUAGCCACUUCCCUACAACAUUUUGUUCAAUUCGAAAUCCUUCAAAUCUAUACAGUUCAUCUGGGGUUAUUGGAAAUAUCUUUUUGAUUUGGUGGUAUGUUGUAUGGCAUGCAAAUUUCAAAUUUCAAGAACUUUAUUAGUUGCUUAUGAAUUGAAGCAACCAUUUGUUUUGUGGAGCAACUCUUCAUUGUUCUACUUGCUAUAUUGUGUGGAUGCUUUGUCUUUCAUUGUCUGCUUGCUAUGUCAGUUGUGUCUUAUGCUUGCGGUUUUCAGUGUUGAUUGCUAGAGCUUAUUGGUGAUUAAGGAGGACAACAAUCCAGGGGAUGUUAUCGCCUCAAAAGGACCACGUUUGAAGCUCAAAAUUAGUCCAUUGUAUUUUUCUUUCUUAGCUAUUUUUGUGAAUCUGCAAGCCGACUUGGCAACAUGUGCGGGCAGAUUUUAUAGGAGCAUUUAUUCAACUUUUGAAAGUGAUAGAUAAGUAUGCUUUGAAGCUUUCAUGCAGGUCAAGAACUGUGAUACCGAGUUUACAAGGCUUUUGCAUUUUCAUAUUCUCUUUUAUCUGGAGGCUGUUUCUUUUCCUGGAGUGUUAUGAACUUCGCAUUCUUUAAAUGUUAUAAUUUUGGUCAUCUGAUUCGAGUUACUCUUAACACUACUUUUGGAUUAAAAGAGUGGAAAGCUAAAGAAAGUAAGUGAUUAUAUCUCAUGGGUUGGGUUAGGUCAGAUUCAAGUUGGGUUAAUGUAAUGUAAGGAAUUUAGAUUAAUUUUUCAAGUUCGAGUUUAGCCUGAUUUGAAAAAUAGGUUUAAAAUUUUGCUCAAGUUAAAAAAAAAAAAGUAAAUAUGGAUCUGACUUGGUUUGCUCAUAUUUUAUUUUAUUUUUUUAGAUUAAUUUUUUAUUUAAAAAUAUUUUUUUUGAAAAAAUAAUAUACUAAAUGCACUAAAAAUAAUAAAAUAUAAGUUUUUUAAUACAUUAAAAAUACAUUAAAAAAGCAUUUAUAUUAAAAAUAUUAUCAUAAAUAUAAUAAUUUUUUUAUCAUGUUAAAAAAACAAAUAUAUAUAAUAAAUAUUGCAUUAAAUAUAUAUUUUAAAAUUUUAUAUUUGAGUUGGAUUAUUUUAUUGGGUAAUUUUUUUUUUUGGGUUUUGAAUAGUAAUUUAAUUUUUAUUGGAUUAAUAAUUGAAUAUAAAUAUAUAAUUAUUAUUUUAUAUAAUUAAUUUUUAUAAUAUAAUAUACUUGUGUUGGGUUGGGUUGAGUUAGGCUGAAUAUGACCUUAAAUUUUACUCAGUUUAUUUUUUAGAUAUCAUGUUUUUGUCUUUAAACAUUUUUUAUUUUCAAGCAGGGCUUUGAAUUCAGUUAAGUGAUUUGACUCAUAAACAAGUCUAGUUUAAAUAAAAGAGUAAGGCUGAGUUUGGAUGGACGGUAAGAUGCGUUGUGCUGCGUUUAGCUUAUUUUUUUCUCAUGCUACAGUAUUGUUAUAGUAUCUAAUUUCACCGUUAUCGUUAUUUUUAUACUAACCGUAGGUAAAUGCACCACCCAUUCAAAGCUACUCUAAUUUAAUAUUUUUGUUUAGAUAAAUAAUUGACAGGAAAGGAUUAUAAUUUGUAUAAUUAUAACUUUUCAUAAAUUUAUUUAUGGUAAAUUAUAUUAUAGGUCACCCAAUUAUGCUCAGAUGUUUUUUCUUUUUUGUCAUCAAAGUUUUAAAACUUUUAAAAUUAUCACUCAACUAAUCAGAUUUGUUCUUUUUUUAUCCAUUUUUUGUUGGUGAUAUGAUAAUCCAAUAGUAUAAUAAUAAAUUUAGUUCUUAAUUUUUACAUAUUAUACCAAUUUAAUCAUAGUUUUAAAAAAAUUACCCUCGGCAUUACAAAUUUUCUCAAAUUGCUCUUAAUUCUUAAAAAAUAAAAAAUAAAAAUACACAUAUUUUCAAAAAUAUAAUAAAUUUUAAAAAAUGUAUAAAUUACAUUGUAUUUUAUUUAAAAUAAUAAAUUAAUCUAAAGCCCUAAGAGCAAACCCUUCUUCAUACAGAUGAUGGUGGUGAUGACGAGAAGCCAAAGCUAAAGCACCAUGGAACGAGCGAGGAGUAGAUUUUGCAGGUGGAACUGAAAGCGUGCACCCCGUGAAACAUUAAGGUUUGAAAGUUGGCCCAUAUAGUACCAGUUCCGGUGGCGGCAAUUAUCGCCGGUUCAGCCUGUUGUAAAAGUCAUUCAAUGAAUUACUUUCAUGUUUGGGUAUCUCGUGUCGUAUUUUUUUAUUUAAAUUGUGACUAAAUUAACAUAAUAUGUAAAAAUUAAGAAUUAAAUUUAUUAUUAUACUCAAUUUUGGACUGUCACCUCACCCUUCUGUCAAAUAGUUAAUGUCACUAAUCGAAGAUAGACUAAAAAGAAUAAACUUGAUUAGUCAUGUGAUCAUUUUGAAAGUUUUAAAAAUUGAGUAACCAAAAAAAAUAUUUAUGUAUAGUUUAGUGACCAGCAAUGCAAUUUACCCAAUUAUUUACAAAAGACUAAAAAGACAUUCUACACCUUAAAAUUUUGUUUUACUUUCCUUUUACUAGUUUUCCUCCCCCAAAUUAGAGUAAAUAAAAAUAUUUAAAUUGGGAAAAUAAAGAAAAUAUUUUUAAUUAGUGUAAAAUAAUAUUUGCAAAUUGAAAUGUUGGAUAUAAUUAAAAUAUAUUAACUUGUUUAAUAAUUUAAUCAUUAUAAUAAAAAUUUAAAUAUAAUUAAAGCAUUUUCAUUGUUUAUAAUGUAUAACAAGCCCAAAUAUGCCCAGGCCCAAACCAAUAAACAGGCCCAAUUAACAGCCCAAAACCCAAAUUAACCUAGCCCAAACAUUAAAAUUUCAGAAACCCUAACAGCAUUUGCCCGCAACCGCCGCACAUCCUAACAACAGCCCCGCACAUGUCGCGCACGUUCGCCUCCACGUUGACUGGCCGUACCUGCAGCAACAAGCAAAAGCAAACAACAACAAAAUAAUAGGAAUAACAGAAUAUAUUUGGUUUGAUUUUUUUUUCUUUCUUCUUUCUCAUUUUCGGCUAUAAAAGCCCAAUUCCAGGCAUUUUAAAAGAGGGGGGCAAAUUCAGUGUAAAAGACAUACGAAAAUAGAGAGAAAAGAUUGAAAUACAAGGAAAAUUGAAGGUUAAUCGCGUUUAUUCUAUUUUCAUUUUUACUUAUUUUUUUCUUUUCUUUUUAUUUGUUUUGUGAAAUAAUAGUAUAAAAGGGGAAAAGAGAGACUUACCCAGUGGUCGCGUUCUAUUCUCCGUCUCGACCGGAGGCCAGGACGGUGAUUGAAGCCGUGGGAGGUUCAUGAACGGCGGCUCCAAAGGGUUAGAGAAACCCUAAGAGAAGCAGCACUGCUUUAGAGGAAAAACAAAAUUUUUUCCCUAAUUUUUUUUCUUUUUUUAAAACUUAAAAUAGAACAAAGAUGGCGCCGUUUAGUUUGGGGGUCCGCGCAUAUCAACCUUAAAUGGGAGAAUUGCGCAAUAAGUCUUCCCCCUUUGCGCCAUGUUUUAUUAAGCCAGUUAUUUCUUUUUAAUUUGGCCCAAAUGUUUUACCUUGUUUCAAAUCGGUCCCCAUUGCGGCGCAGCGGUUUAGGGAGCUGGAUUAUUUCGAUUUGGGCCCCCUCAUAUAAUGCGUGUGUUGCAAAUUGGUCCCUGUUCUAUUUUAAUUUCAUUUUUUGGUUAUUUUGUUUUUUCUCAAUUCGUUUUUUUUUAAAUUGUUACUUUUAAAAUUAUUGCUAUAUUAUCUAUUAUCAUUUAUUACUAUUUCUAUAUUUAUACACGCAUUUUUUAUAUAGUAUAUAUAUAUAUACAUAUUUCUUUAUAUAAUAUAUAUAACUUUUAUGAAUGCAUGCAUUUUACAUACGUUUUAUUUUUUAUCUUUUGUAACCUUUAUAUACUUUAUAUAUAUUAUAUAUAUAUACUUAUACAUUUCUUUUAUUUUGUAAAUAUAUACACAUGUACAUACUUUUAUUUUUAUUUAUUUUAUUUUCAUAAUUCUUACAUGUACAUAUAUAUAUAUAUAUUUCUAUAAUAUGUACGUACAUGUUUUUUUUAGAAAUUAUUACAAGUCUUUUGCUUUACAUGUUUCAUUCCUGUUUAUAUGUAUACUAAUAUAUGUGGGUUUAAUAUAUGUGUACACAUAUUUGCAAAUUUACUUGUAAAUUGUAUGUACUUGUAUAUAUAUAUUUUGUAAAUAUUUAUUCAUAUAUGUUUUUAGAGUUUUUGUUUCAUAUUAUGCAUUAACUUUUAACAUGCCUUUUGGGAAAUAUAUUUUGGUUUUAUCAGUAUAUCAAAACCAUUUUCUCUUGAUUCGAAGUUUUUUUUGAAUAAAAGCAAUAUUCAAAGUUUGAGAUUUUCAAGGAAAUUGAGCCCUAACGUAUUGGGUUCCGAUUUUCUUUGUUAAUCUAAAAUAACCGAGAAUAUUCUUUAUUCAAAAUGUAUGAGAAUAAAAAUCAUUUUCGGGAACUUAACUUGUUGUGUCCUAAUGUAUUGGGUGUGACAUGUUACUUUCUCAAAAUGAAGAUUUUCGCAUAAAAUAAAAGUGGUAUUCAAAGUUUGGGGAUGUUGAGAAAUUGUACCCUAAUGUAUUGGGACUCGAUUUCUUUACAUGACUUGAACAAUUGAUUAUCCUUUUCAGAUUUCAUCAUUUGAGUUGUUUUUAAAAAACCUUUUUUAGCCCUCGACACUAAGACAUUAAAUAAUUAAUUUGGUACCAAUUUUGGGUGUUACGAGGGUGCUAACCCUUCCUCGUGCGUAACUGACUCCCGAACCUGUUUUCUCAAAUUUCAUAGACCAAGACACGUUUUAAGGUAAGUUGAUCACGCCUCAAUAAAGGAUCGGUGGCGACUCCAGUUUUAUCUUUAAAGUCGACAACUAAAUUUUUGUUUUCAAAAUGAUGGUUUUGACAGCUUGGCGACUCCGCUGGGGACACUAGAGAGUCGAGCCGUGAAUUGGUUAUGUUUUGUCUUUUUGUCGAAAAUCAAAAGUUUUUUAAAAAUCAUGAUUUCCCUGUGCAUUCAUUUUCAUCAUGAUAUGUUUGCAUGAUUGGACCAAGUUGGUUGAUCUGUAUUUGCUUUUUGCAUAGCAUGGUCAGUUUUACCCCUUUAAGUGGGAGCGAGAAACUAGUCCUUCGUGAGGUUUUCACCUCCGUGCAGGGUAGUGGACCGCUUCCGGGAUACAUUCGUACAUAUGCCUUCGUGAGAUUUUCAUCUCCGUGCAGCCAUAGGGAAAUGUAUUCCCCUGAACUGAACUCGAUCCAUGUGAGCCUAUAAUGGGUAAGGAUCGAGGAAUCUGCUAGUUCGGGUACCUUUGCUCUAGAAGUCAAACCUCAUAUAGUGAACCUUAGGAACUCACCCUAGGUAGAACUACAUUGAACCCUAGUAGAUACCCGAAUAGGUGUUUUAUUAUUUCCAAUUAUAUUGGAUUCUAUUUUUAUACCUAAUACUAACUUGUUAUGUUUUGUUUUGGCUGCAUGACAUUUUGACCGUAUUGCAUUUCAUCAUAGAAAAGAGGUGUUGAUUCACGUUCGGUUGCUAAAUAGAGAGCUUGUCAUGGAAAAUGGAUUUCUUGAUAAAGUGGAAAAUAAUACGGUUCUCCGAAUAUAGUCCAAGAAAGCGUGAUACGAGAAGUGUAACAAGAGGAGUAUACGACUUUGCUGCGUUGAUUCAAGAUUAGCACAUAUUAUUCAAGAGUCGUCAAACAUCCCAACCUUUUUAAAGAAACUAAUGAACGUGAGUGAGCAAGGAGUUACGACCUAGAUCAAACAAAAAGGAGCUCAAAUUCGCGAGAUGCAUCUUAAUAUCUGAAUGGUCGAUGUCUUUGCUUGGAGUACGAGGGCGAAGCCAUAUAUAUAUCUGCUUUGUGUAAAGAGAUUUAUUUUCUAGAGAAGUUUUUCUAGUAAAGAAUUGGACCAGAAUUAACGUCUCUUUUGCAUUCAUUUCACGCUUUUGCAUUACAUUACAUCAUAUGCAUUAAACACAUUAUAGACCUUUAUUCAAUCCUAAUAAGUCAAAAUCACUGCUCAGUUAACCUGGAAACCAACCAACCAACUCGAGCAAAGAUUAAAGACAUGGAUCAGAGAUUGGAAAAGCUCGAAUAGCACCAGAAAGAAAUGCAAGACCAACUCCAGUUACAAGUGCAGGAGCGGUUAGACAAGAUGCAACGGGAUAUGUCAGAGAAGAUGCAGGAAUCCCAAAACAAUAUGAUGACAAAGUUGACCCAACUGUUGACUGGAGGGGGUGAUAAAGGAAAGGGUCCCAUGGCUGAUAUCGAAGAGGGUAACGAGGAUGAAUCACUAUAUCCUCCAGGCUUUACUCCUCCAUAUGUGCGAACUCAAGCUGAAUAUCCGCACAAAUCUACUGUCAUAAUCAGGCCUCAGCAGUUCCAGGCCGGUGCUUCAAACUUCCAGGCUGGAUCGGGCUCUAACCCUGGAAACCACCAUGCUAAUUUCGCCAUUCUUGAAUUUGAUGAAGUGGUUGAAAAAGAAAGAAUAAAGGAAGAGUUACCAAAGCAGUUAGAAGAAAGGUGCAAAUGGCUCGAGGAGAAAUUCAAGGCGAUGGAAGUCACUGAAAGCUAUCGUGAGAUUGAUGCUAAAGAGCUAAGUUUAGUUCCGAAUUUGGUACUCCCUCAUAAGUUCAAGAUGCCAGAAUUCGAAAAGUACAAUGAAACAAGUUGCCCAGAAGCACAUAUCACCAUGUUCUGCAGGAGAAUGGCUGGAUAUGUUAACAAUGACCAGCUAUUGAUUCAUUGUUUCCAGGAUAGCCUCACAGGGGCAGCAUCUAAAUGGUAUAAUCAACUGAGUCGUAUCGUGAUUGGUUCAUGGAGGGAUUUAGCACAAGAAGCCCCAUUCAUUACGCAUAUGUUAAGAAGUGCUACAAAGAGCUUUUCUGACAUAGUUAUGAAUAGUGAAAUGAUCGAAAAUGCUAUAAGGAACAGGAAAAUUGAUGUAGAGGAGAGUAACAAGAGGUCAGUCUCAAGGAGAAGAGAAAAUGAGGUGAAAAACACGGGUUACUCUAAAUCAGUUACUGUGAGUCAGCCAAGAAAGGUGGCUGCUAACCAACAAGGUUCAUCAAGGUAGGAAGCUGGUACAAGACAAAACACUGAGAGGCCGCAAUUCACGCCAAUUUCGGUGUCAUAUAGGGAGCUAUAUCAAAGUUUUUUUGAUGCACAUGUUGUUUCCCCUUUUUAUGUGAAGCCUCUACAACCUCCGUACCCCGAAUGGUAUGAUACGAACGCACAAUGUGCUACCAUAUGGGAAUUACAGGACACUUGAUUGAGAAUUGCACUACCUUCAAGAAACUAGUUGAAAGACUUAUCGACAUGGGUGUUGUCAAGUUUGGUGACUCAUCAAGUCCAGAAAAUCCGUUACCCAAUCAUGAUUGAUGAUGGAGGGAAUGCAAUAUAAGUGGUGAGAAAUUUGCACAUCGAUGUCAUAUAUGCAGACAUAAUUAAAAGGGUCCUUGUUAGAUAUUUGCCUGAGAGGUGUUAUAAAUAAUGGACUGCAGAGGAAACCCCUAUAUUACUUAGAGUCUGAUAAAGUAAUGUUCAGAACACACUUGUUGCUUUUAGCCUAAAAGCAAUAAGAACUUCUUUGUGAAAUAGGCUCAUGUCUGAACAUUAUUAUUUUAAUGAAAUACAUCAUUGCAAUCAUCUUCGAGCAAAUGUUCUUUCAUUCUUUACGAUUCUUUCAUUCUUUUGGAUUUUUUCUGCCAAAUCAUUCUUUCAUUCAUAAUCAUAUUAUCUAUAAAUUCAUAAAUUCUUUGUAUAUUCCUUAGCACCUACAAUAGGUCCCUGGAUAUCAAUGACAUGAGUGACGCUGCUACAGACUCAUAAUCUCCUCUUGAGUGAAACAUGUGUUUAGAGGGAUCUCAUGACUUUGAAGAUGACAUAGAUUGUAGCUUAUCUCCUAACUUGUUGAGGAUGGUAGAGCAAUAAGAAAACAAAUUUACCUCAUGAGGAGACAAUGGAGACUGUGACCUUGAAGAAACAUGUAUGACCGAAGAAACAAAGUAAGACGCUAUUGAGUUACUUCAAGAAUUCAAAAAUGUCUUCGUAUGGUCAUACUAGGAUAUGCCCGGGUUAAGCACUGUCGUUGCAAUCUGAACAACAGCACGAUAUCAGAAAUUUACAGUAUGCUUAAGAUUAAUAUCAUGAAUGAUGCAAUAAAAACUCUACUGGAGCAGUGCCUCUCUCUUUAGUUCAUCACGAUUUUUUCUAUUGAAGUCAAAGUUCUUUUUCUCCGAGUAUUGGCUGAGCAAGUUGGAUGAGCAAAACGGAUUCAAUCGCGAUGUGAUCAAUUGAACUUGAUAGAAGGAAAAAGGCUAAAAGCUAUUCAUCACGGUCAGAUGUACCAGAAAUGAAUGAUGCGAGCCUAUAACAAAUGUUCAUCCCAGAGAAUUCCACGAGGGUGACCAAAUGUUGAACAUCUUCCCUCUACAAUAAAAUUGUUUUGGAGGGAAGCGGAUGCCAAAUUUGGAAGAACCUUAUGUUACAGAGACGAUUUUUCCAAAGGAGCUUUGAUUUUGAGCGAGAUGGAUGAUAAGUCCUGUAAACUCAGAUUCAGUCAGGAAAUACUCCGCUUAAAGAAGGAGAUGACUAAGGUAGAAAACCCGCAAAGGGGCACUUUGAGUCGUAAAAAUGAUGAAAUGAAAAAAUGAAAAAGUGAAAAUGAGAAAUGGAAAAUGGAAAAAGAAAAGAAAAUGAGAGACCAAGGCGAAAACCCGCAAAGGGCGCUUUAGACCAAAGGGGAUUUGAGUUGAAAACUCGAAAAGAACGGCUCAAAUAUUGAUCAAAAUGGGGCAUGAGGUAAUCAAAGCAGCUCAAAUACCAUUCAGAGUGGGGCAUACAAUGGUCUUGCUAUACCUGAAUCAACAGGAAAGGGCAGGCGACAUCUUGGGGCAUCGACAAAGUACUAUAGAUCUCCUAAACACAUGUUAAACUCAGAAUGGUCUUCAGAAAGUCUGUACAGAGAAGUUCAAGUUGCGAUAUCUAGGGCACCUAAUCCUUAUACCAUUUUUGUUAUUCUUGGAACACUUCAUUCAUUGACAAGAUACGCAUUCCUAAAUCAAUUUCUUGUUAUCCAUCUUUAUUAUCUUUGAUAAUCUAUUCAUUUCAGAGCCAUGCUCUAAAUCAAUUCUAUUCUUACCCAUUGUUAUGAUCUCUUGCAAGCAUGUUGCAUUUGAAUAAUGAUGAAUGGACUAAUAAAACUUUCACAAAGGAAGUUUUGCAUAUUACUCUAGAAGUUUCUAAAUAAUAUAGGAACCUCAAAUAGGACUAUUGUUUAGAACGCACCAGGUUAAAGGUUGGAAAUCUAAUAAGGAAGAGUCUAAAUUAAGACUAUCCCUUUGAAUUUUGUUGUCUAAAUCAUUGAUUGAAAAACGACAAGAUGUCGUGUUGGUGAUAAAGCUUAAAUGAACAAGCAAGUAAUGAUCACCGAAUAAUAAGAAGAAGUUGUUCUUGGAGAAGAAUAUUCUUCAUUUGUGCAUGAGCAUUUGGUAUGACUCCCUAGAAAUGGUGAAAAUGACAAAAGAGCUUCACAUUCUACAUCCUUGAAUUGUGAUAGUGAAAGAUUGAGAAAAGGCCAGAUUUUUUUUUUACUCUUGAGUUACCACGAGAGAAAGAUGAUACAGAUUUUGUGUUCCAAUGGAUUGAAAUUUGAAGUUCACAGUGGAGGGCAAUUUGAUUAAGUGUUUUUCGGAGAUGCUAGCUGAGCAAAAAGGUGUUAUAGCACAUUAGUGAGGAAACCUUAAUAAACUUUGAGUAAUAAUAACUCAAGCAUUAAAAUAUUAUUUUCAUGACAUUUUGCAUUCAUUUAAAUGACAUUCAUACACGUCUAGUUAGAAGCAUUUGAUUCAUUCUAAUCAUGACAUCCUUAAUCUCUAGGCAUAAUCAGGUUCAUCAUACAGGUCAUGUUUCACAGAAAACAUAUCAGUAAAAUCAUAAAGCCUUAUCCCCCUGAGCAACAGUGGAGCUGGCUAAAAAUCAGCAGAUCUUGUCUUCAUGUAUUGGCGUGAAGUAGAUCAAAGAUAGCAGAUCUUGUCUUCCCAUACUGGUGGUGAAGUAGAUCAAAGAUAAUGGAUCUUAUCUUCAUGUAUUGACAUGAAGUAGAUCAGAGAUAGCAGAUCUUGUCUUCAUGUAUUGAUAUGAAGUAGAUCAGAGAUAGCAGAUCUUAUAUUCAUGUAUUGACAUGAAGUAGAUCGAAGAUGAUGGAUUUUGUCUUCAUGUAUUGACAUGGAGUAGAUCAGAGAUAGCAGAUAUUAUCUUCCCAUACUGGUGGUGAAGUAGAUUGAAGGUAAUGGAUCUUGUCUUCAUGUAUUGACAUGGAGUAGAUCAGAGAUAGCAGAUCUUGUCUUCAUGUAUUGACAUGAAGUAGAUCAGAGAUAGCAUAUCUUAUCUUCAUGUAUUAACAUGAAGUAGAUCGAAGAUAAUGGAUCUUGUCUUCAUGUAUUGACAUGAAGUAGAUCAGAGAUAGCAGAUCUUGUCUUCAUGUACUGGCGUGAAGUAGAUCGAAGAAAGCAGAUCUUGUCUUCAUGUACUGGCGUGAAGUAGAUCGAAGAAAGCAAAUCUUGUCUUCCUGUACUGGUAGUGAAGUAGAUCAAAGAUAACAGAUCUUGUCUUCCCAUACUGGUAGCGAAGUAGAUCGAAGAAAGCAGAUAUUGUCUUCAUGUAUUGGCGUGAAGUAGAUCGAAGAUAGCAGAUCUUGUCUUCCCAUACUGGUGGCGAAGUAGAUCGAAAUACCAGUCUUAUCUCCUUGAAGUUGCAGUGGAGCAGACAGAAGAAACCAAUCCUAUCUCCUUGAAGUUGCAAUGGAGUAGAUUAAAACCACAGAUUUCAUCUCUUUGGAGUUGUAGCAGAGCAGAUCGCAUCAGAUUUAUUUUUAAGUUGUAGCAUAACAAGUUGAAGCUAUAAGUCUUAUCUCCCUGAAGUUGCAGUGGAGCAGAUUAAAGAUAGCAAAUUUUGAAGCUACAGCAUACGAAUCCUAUAUCCCUGACAUUCCAGUGGAGUAGAUCGAAACGCUAGUUCCUGUACCUCUGAAGAUACAGUAGGAAGGAAUGAGGCUACUAGAAGAAAGGCACUGAAUAAGUUGAGGCUCAGUAAGACCAGACACAAUUGGGCUUUUGGUUUUUGCUCUAUUCUCGUUACACGACAAUGAGCAAAGAGGGGCAGCUGUACAAGCCCAAAUAUGCCCUGGCCCAAACCAAUAAACAGGCCCAAUUAAUAGCCCAAAACCGAAAUUAACCUAGCCCAAACAUUAAAAUUUCAGAAACCCUAACAGCAUUUGCACGCAGCCACUGCACAUCCUAACAACAGCCCCGCACAUGUCGCACACGUUCGCCUCCAUGUUGACUGGUCGUACCUGCAGCAACAAUCAGAAACAAACAGCAAAUUUUCCCGCAGCCGCCGCACAUCCUAACAGCAGCCCCGCACAUGUCGUGCACAUUCGCCUCCACGUUGACUGGCCGUACCUACAGGAACAAGCAGAAACAAACAGCAACGAAAUAAUAGGAAUAACAUAAUAGAUUUGGUUUGAUUUUUUCUUUCUUAUUUCCCAUUUUCAGCUAUAAAAGCUCAAUUCCAGGCAUUGUAAAAGAGGGGGGAAAUUCAGUGUAAAAGAUAUAUGAAAAUAAAGAGAAAAGAUUGAAAUACAAGGAAAAUUGAAGGUUAAUCGCGUUUGUUCUACUUUCAUUUUUACUUAUUUUUUUCCUUUUCUUUUUAUUUGUUUUGUGAAAUAAUAGUAUAAAAGUGGAAAAGAGAGACUUACCCGGUGGUCGCGUUCUAUUCUCCGUCUCGAUCGGAGGCCAGGACAACGAUUGAAGCCGUGGGAGGUUCAUGAACGGCGGCUCCAAAGGGUUAGAGAAACCCUAAGAGAAGCAGCACUGCUUCAGAGGAAAAACAAAUUUUUUCCCUAAUUUUUUUCUUUUUUUAAAACUUAAAAUAGAACAAAGAUGGCGUCGUUUAGUUUGGGGGUUCGCGCAUAUAAACUUUAAAUGGGAGAAUUGCGCAAUAAGUCCUCCCCAUUUGCGCCAUGUUUUAUGAAGCUAGUUAUUUCUUUUUAAUUUGGCCCAAAUGUUUUACCUUGUUUCAAAUCGGUCCCCAUUGCGGCGCAGCGUUUUAGGGAGUCGGAUUAUUUCCAUUUGGCCCCCCUCAUAUAAUGCGUGCGUUGCAAAUUGGUCUCUGUUCUAUUAUCAUUUUUUUUAAAUUGUUAUUUUUAAAAUUAUUACUAUAUUAUCUAUUAUCAUUUAUUACUAUUUCUAUAUUUAUACACGCAUUUUUUAUAUAGUAUAUAUAUAUAUACAUAUUUCUUUAUAUAAUAUAUAUAACUUUUAUGAAUGCAUGCAUUUUACAUACGUUUUAUUUUUUAUCUUUAUCUUUUUUAACCUUUAUAUACUUUAUAUAUAUAUUAUAUAUAUUUUUAUACAUUUCUUUUAUUUUGUAAAUAUAUACACAUGUACAUACAUUUUCAUAAUUCUUACAUGUACAUAUAUAUAUUUCUAUAAUAUGUACGUACAUGUUUUUUUUUAGAAAUUAUUACAAGUCUUUUGCUUUACAUGUUUCAUUCCUUUUUAUAUGUAUACUAAUAUAUGUGGGUUUAAUAUAUGUGUACACAUAUUUGCAAAUUUACUUGUAAAUUGUAUGUACUUGUAUAUAUAUAUUUUGUAAAUAUUUAUUCAUAUAUGUUUUUAGAGUUUUUGUUUCAUAUUAUACAUUAACUUUUAACAUGCAUUUUGGGAAAUAUAUUUUGGUUUUAUCAGUAUAUCAAAAUCAUUUUCUCUUGAUUCGAAGUUUUUUUUGAAUAAAAGCAAUAUUCAAAGUUUGAGAUUUUCGAGGAAAUUGAGUCCUAACGUACUGGGUUCCGAUUUUCUUUGUUAAUCUAAAAUAACCGAGAAUAUUCUUUAUUCAAACUGCAUGAGAAUAAAAAUCAUUUUAGGGAACUUAACUUGUUGUGUCCUAAUGUAUUGGCUGUGACAUGUUACUUUCUCAAAAUGAAGAUUUUCGCUUAAAAUAAAAGUGGUAUUCAAAGUUUGGGGAUUUUGAGAAAUUGUAUCCUAACGUAUUGAGACUCGAUUUCUUUACAUGACUUGAACAAUUGGUUAUCCUUUUCAGAUUUCAUCAUUUGAGUUGUUUUUAAAAAACCUUUUUUAGCCCUUGACACUAAGACAUUAAAUAAUCAAUUUGGUACCGAUUUUGGUCAUUACGAGGGUGCUAACCCUUCCUCGUGCGUAACUGACUCCCGAACCCAUUUUUUCAAAUUUCGUAGACCAAGACACGUUUUAAGGUGAGCUGAUCACACCUCAAUAAAGGAUCGGUGGCGACUCCAGUUUUAUCUUUAAAGUCGACAACUAAAUUUUUGUUUUCAAAAAGAUGGUUUCGACAUAUAAUACAGUUUUAUUUCAUAAUAAUUAAUGCAAGACAAUAUUACUUAAAAUAAUAAUUAAUUAAUAUAAUUAUAUUAUAGGGAUAAAUUUUAAAAUUAUACAUGAACUUUAAUUCAAUGUGCAGUUUGAUACAUGAAUUUCGAUUUGGUGCAAUUAUACGCAUAAAACUUUGAUUUUGAUUCAAUUACAAACAUUUUAAAAAAUAACUACACCAAUUUAUUUCUAUAUUGGAUAAAUAUAAUUAUAUGUAUAUGCAAUAUAUAAACAUAAAAUGAUGCUAUAUAAAAUUGCACAUUAAACCAAAGUCCAUGUAUAGUUUUAAAAUUUAUGUCUUGUAAUAUAUUAGAUUUAUUGUUUAUAAAAUUUUAUUGUAUAAAUAAUUAAAAUUUGCUAUUUAAAAAAAUAAUAUAUAUAUUUUUCUUUUUCUAUUUUUUUAUUAAUAAUGAAAACAUAAUACUUUAAAUGUAAAGUAAAAUUUUUAAUCCAAUAAACAUAAAGUAAUUUAAUUCACCAUCUAUUAUUGCUCAAAAAAUUAGUAUUUAUUUAAUAAAAAUAUUUUUAAUAGAAUCAAAAAAAUUUAAUCCAUAGAGGUUUUCCUCGACUCAGGUUGCCCAUUUAUAAUUUAACUGCAAUUAAUUUGCAUCUUCUGCCAGUCAUAAUGCUAAAUAUGUAUGGGAGAAUCCGAAUUUUAAAAUUUUAAAAUAUUUUUAAUCUUUGGACUAUUUAAAUUUGAAAUUUAGGUGUUUCGAAUUAUUUUAGGGUUUGAUUACUUGUAAAUUUAAAUAAUUUUUUAUUACUUAUUUAAAUAGAUUUAAAUUUAUUGGAGUUAUUUUAUUUCCUUUCAUUUUUCAAAGAAAAUUAUUUUUAUCUACUUUUUUUUUUCUUUUCUAACCUAAACACGUUACCAAAGAAAUUUAUAUAUAUAUAUAUAUAUAUAUNNNNNNNNNNNNNNNNNNNNNNNNNNNNNNNNNNNNNNNNNNNNNNNNNNNNNNNNNNNNNNNNNNNNNNNNNNNNNNNNNNNNNNNNNNNNNNNNNNNNUUACUUGUAGUGGUAGUGGUAGUGGCGUAUCAUAUUUAGGGGGUUGACAGGUUCCGGUCCCCUUAAAAUAAAAAAUUAUUUAUUUAAAAAUUUAAAAAUUUUAAAUUAAUAAAGGUAAAAUUAUACUUUAAUUCUCUAAAAAUGAUAAAAAUUUAAUUUAAGCCUUUAAAAAUGAUAAAGAUAUAACUAUUAAAAAACAAUUUAAGUUCAGAUCCCCUUAAAAAGGAAUUUCUGAUUUCGACCUUGUUUACUGGUUAAAUAUUCACUUAUUUCAAGAAAAAUUGGAGUUAAAUGAUGGUUAGAGAGAGUAUGAGAGUGGUAUAUGGCAUUGAGGGUAGUGACUCUUCAACACUGCAAACUGAACCAACCUUUUUGAGCCAAAGCUUCACAAAAGAAGUCUUCAACUAUCAUUUCAAUGUCUUCAACCAUCACUUUUCACUUCAUCUGCCCACAAUUACCCGCUAAUCCUUCACUCAACGAUACGCACAUUCGCUAUUUGGAACCUUUAACUUUUCCCUAAAACCAUUUUUUAGGGUUAAUUUAUUAUUUACACCUUAAAUUGCACUCAGUUAUCAUUUUUUUAUUAGUUUGUCAUACCAUUGGUUUGUAUUAUUUUCUUUUGACUAAAUUAAAAAAAUCAGAAAAAAUAGCUAAAAAAAACUCCAUUUUUUUAAAUAAGAAAAAUAUAUAAAAUUCUCAUAAAUUAAAAAGAUUUUUUAUUUUUAUUUUUAAAAAAACAUAAAAUAUAAAAAGAGCGAAAAUACAAAAAAAAAUGUCAAACAAUUUUAGAAAAAUCUCAAAAAAAUAUAUCUAAAAAUCAGAAAAAAUACGAUAAUUAUAAAAAAUUUCUAGAAAUUAAAAAAUAAAAUUUUAUUUUUAAAAAAUACAUAUAGUUCAAAAACAAGAGCGAAGAUACCAAAAGAAAUCUCAAUUUUAUUUAAAAUAUCAUAAAAAGGGAAAAUUUUAAAAGGACUUGAGAACCAGCUGGUACGUUAUCCAAAUUUUGAUAUGUAUAUAAAUUUGUUGUGAUCUGAAUUUUGGCAUAAUGAUUUUUUUGUCCUCCAAUUUUAUAAAAAAAUUAUCUUAAUUUUCUAUUUAGUUCUUUUAGUCUUUAAACUUGUAUUUUUAUCAAAUAAUCUCAAAAUAGAUGAAAAAAUUAAUGUUUGUUAACUUUACUGACGUGACAUACACGUAGACUGCCACAUGGAUGAUAUAUUAGUAUUUAAUUAAUUUUUUAAAUUUAAAAAUGUUAAUUUUUUUCUAUAGUUUUAUACUUUUUAAUAAUUUAAAUAAUUUUUAAAUUUUAAAAAUAAAUUUUUUAUAAUUUUUAAUUUAAAAAAUUAAUUAAAUAUUGACAUGGCACUCUACAUGCAUGUCAUAUUAAUAAAGUUAACAAAUAUUAAAUUUUUCAUUCAUUUUAAGGUGACUUGACAAAAAAAUAUAAAUUUAAGAGCUAAAAAAAUGAAAAGUUAAAUAGAAAAUUAAAAUAAAUUUUUUAAAGAGUAAAGGGCAAACAAAUCUAUGCACCUUGAAUUUUUUUAGGAAUGCUAAGACUGCCAACUAGUUUUCUGGGCCAAUGUUGGGUGUAUAAAAUACUGUUGGCUUGAGCCUUGCAUCAUAUUCUGAUGGUAAACCUCUACUUGAACUGCCAUUUUUCUCCUUGUAAAAUUAAAUUACAUUUAUUCAUGCAUGUGAUAGCCAAUAAAGUAUUUUUGGAUCUCCACCCGGAAUUUAGUAUGCCUAAAUUUGUGUGAAGAAUAGCGCAAACAAUUAAAGAUAGAAGUAAAUAACAAGUAACCAAAAUCAAAGCUAUGGAGAUUAGUAAGUCAAUGAACAGCUCUUCUUGAUGAGUGCCACUUCUAGAAAACAACUAUUUUUUGUUUGCCAAAGAAAGUAGCAUAUGCUGAUGGAUAUACUUAAACAAAGAUUGCAUUAAUGCACCUAGGAACAAGUGUCAUAUAAUUUUGUAAGGAGGUUAGGGAAUCCAAGCUUUACCUAAAGAAAGAGCACAAUAUUUUAUAAACGGUCCGAUCUCCACCAAAUCUAAUUUUGUUUUUUGUUUUUUAAAUAUACUUUAUAUCUUUCUAAAGUUUAUCAAACAACUAUUUGCUUUGGCCAAUUUUGGAGCAAUAAGAUUAGUUUUUCCAUUAUCGUAAUUCCUAAUAUAUUACCGAAAAAUUAAGUAAGUACUAUAAUCCCCAUUUUAAUGUGUAAAAAGGAGAUUCAAAAUAAAAUUUUUUAGCAAUAGUCAGAGAGGGAGAGAAUUACCGCUGGGAAAGAAUGUAGUUAGUAGUAGAUGGGAGCUGGGUGGACGACACGCAUAGGAGAUCAUCUUAGAUUUAACCUAACUUAAUAGGUAUAUAUAUUAGGGGUAAUUUUGUAAAUAUAGUGGGAUGAGACGAGAUAAGUUUACUCUGUAACACUUUAUACCCGACUUUAUUUACCGGAUCCAAAUAUAGGAUGUCACGAUACUUACAUACUUAAUAAAAUUAUACAACUAGCGAAAAUUAUAUUGGAUGUACUUAUUAUUAUUUUUUAAAAUCUUUUCCAAGUCAAAAAGAUUUGAAUGAAACGUUUAUUAUUUAUAACAGUCUCUUAAAAGCAGUACAAAACAUUACAACUUAAAUAUUUGAUAAGACAUGCAUAUUCGUGGUGUAUAAUACUAUUCGCCAUUUGAAAACAUAUUCCUCAAAGUAUCCCUUUGUAUGCAUAAUAUCGCACUAUGAUCAACCACCUUAGCGCAUUCCUGACUUGGUCCCUUCUGGUAAACUGGUUCAACUCAAGAACCUGCAUUACAAAUAAACACUCAUAAGUUUAAUGGAACUUAAUGAGUCUCAACCAGUUUUACCUUUUAACACCACUGAAGAAAUCAUCAACUUUAAGAUCUUGGAUUUCCUUUCAGACCUUGGCUGAAACUUUUCUGAUUUUUAGUUGGCAGAUAACUAUACGCCAAUCUCUACACUUGAACACCUUAUAGAUAGUUCAAUUGACUGGAGGAUCACAGACUUCACACCAUAGUUCGAAUCUAUUACACAAUCUUUUUGAAGAUAGUUGUUGGAUAUAAACUCCUCAUAAUGAUAUUUAUAUGGAUACUACUCCUAACUGAUUCUCCUACUAACUUUGGCAACUAUCAAAACGCCGUUCACACCGAAUCUUCAAAUUAAUCCAGACAAAUGUACUUACUCGGAUGAAUGUAUUAUUUUAGACCAUCCCAUAGAAUUCCAAAUAACUUUGAUACAUAACAUGAAAAUAUCCUGGUUCAAUGAACUUUUACCCCACUGUACCUCCGGAUACACCAAAUUCUCCUUCCUGGUGAAUUACUAAGGGAGAUUCCUCGGUCAAAUACACUACUGAGAAUUCAUUUAGAAAAUUAUUCAAAUGCAUACCCAGAUUUCACUGCAAUGGCGGUCUAACCACUUGCCACUUAGGCGUUACAGAAUUCGUUAUACAUGUUUUUCAUACAAUACACCACAAAGACUUUUUAGAUAAUUCGCCACAAAGGCUUUACAGAUAACUCACCACAAAGGCUUUUCAGAUAAUUCGCCAUAAAGGCUUUACAGAUAACUUACCACAAAGGCUUUUCAGAUAAUUCGCCACAAAGGUUUGCCACCAAGGUACCACAUAAACUUUUGUGCUUGACGAUAUAGAUUUGCUUAAACUUAGCAUCACCUGAAGUUUGCCCAUCAUUACCCCCGGGAUACGCAAAAACCCCAGUAAACAAAUGCGGCUCAUUUGUCAUUCCCAAAAUGUGUCAUGGCCAUGGUCUUUUCAGAUAUCUGCCAUAUUGACAUUUUCUUGUUUUUACUGUCCCUACAGACCUUGUGUUUAUGGUCCUGAUAGACUACAUUUCUCCACACUGACCUUCAUGUUUAAUGUCCUAGUAGACGUUAUCAAAACACCACUGCGAGGUUCGUUAUCAUAUCACAUACUAUUCCGACACUCCACCAAAGCCCAUUAUCGCCAACCAUACUGGUCAUGCAUCACUCAAAUAACAUAAUGAACACAUUUACACAGAUUUCGCUCAUAUUCUCAACAAAAUCAUAUCUUUUAACACAUAAUUUCUCAUUCAUGCUUACCAUACAUUGUCAUAUUCAUGGAGUGCAUCAUACACUUCAGUACAUGCAUACAAGUGUUUCACAAAAAAUAUACAAAAUACAUGCAUACUACAACUCCUGAAGAAGAUAUGCUUAUCUAUAUAGAUGCCAAUCAUGCAAAGAAUCAUUGUAAUAUAACGUGUAGGUGACAUGCCUAGUGACUCACCUUUACUUCAGUCUAAAGCUUCUAUUUCAAUCAUCUGUCCCAAUCCAAUAGCAACAAUUACUUUUAAAAUCAUGGAAUUUCCAUUAGAAUCUCUAUUUACAAAUAGUUUACUAAUGUUUCAACUACAUACGACCCCAAGUAUUGCCUUCCACUCUCACCCUACUGUUCUUACAUUCUUAUUCCUCAACAUUCGUAACAUAUAGAACUAUAAGAAUUAUCAGAAGGUCGAAUCAUCCACUGAUUAAAUGAAAUCUUAGCUCUACCUUAAUGAAGAAGAAGAAGAAUAAAACAUUUAGGUUUGAAGGAAGAACUAGAACGUUGGGCAAAAAGAAAAGCCAUGUAGUAUGACAUCCUUAAUUACCUUAUUAAAUAGGGAUAUAGUGACCCCUUUAAAUAGGUUAAGAUUAGAGUUCUAAUCAUACUAAAAUAGCCCUAGAGUAUUUAGAGUUUGACUAGAAAAAGAUAGCAGAGUUUAAUAGGAGAAGAAAAGUGUUUGUGGGAAACACGUUGCAAUGUCCUUAUUUGUGUCAUUACAAUGUCGUCCGUCAUUGCAAUGUCUAAAAGCUUCUCCUUGUGACGUUGUCUGCUAACUUUGGUAAGUUCCUGCAAACUAUCCAAUAAAUGCAAGGCACACCCUACAAAUCUUCACAUUGACUCGUAUUUACCACACCUUAUUAUCCGGGCCCUGUCAAGGGCUGAACCUGAUCUUUGCAGAAUGUCAACCAAGCCCAAAUCGUUCUCAAACUUGGAAACCAAAAGACUCAUAAUCUUUAAAUCAAGGUUGUAUAAUGCAACAAGUGUUAGUGAUACACGAACUGACAUCUGCUUCACAAUAAGAGAGAAAAAAUUAAGGAAAUCAACUCCCUUCACUUGAUUGUCACCCUUUUGCGACCAACCUUGCUUUAAACACUCUGCUUUAUCCAACUCUGCUACAAUCUAAAAUCAGUGAUUCCAUCAAACUUCUCAAUAUCAAAAUUCAUUAUUGCCAUCGCUGAAUGGGUCAAUUACAAAAAUGUAGCUUUGUUCUUAUACCAAUUUAUUAGGGAUCGACCCUGUAAGACCCAAUUUUUACUCGGCCUCGCAUACACAAAAUAAACAAAUAAAAAUGAUAAAAAUGGCAGUCCAAUAGUGGCCCAAACAUUAACCCAACCCUAGCUCAUAACAUAAACAGAUCACAAAAAAACCCUAGCCUUUUUCAGCAACCGUCGCCGCCCCAGCCACGCGUCUCCUCCACGUCACCACCAUAUGACCUCUGUACCUGCAAGAAAUAGUAACACGACAACAAAAAAAAGAAAAAGAAAAAAGUUGUAAUUUUUAGGCUAUAAAGCUCUAAAAAAUAGUGUUAUAGUUUUUUACGGAGAUUCAAUACAAAAAUAAAAAAAAUUCAAAAAAACAGAAAGAGAUUCAAAGGUAGUUUAUUUUCUUCUUCGUUAAUCUUAUUUUUGUUUACGUUUGUUUUUUUAGAAAUAAACACAAAGUACAAAAAAGAGAUUGAACCUUACCCUUUUUUUGGUGCUUGCACCGCCAUGGGAGGUCGAGGUUCAUCGUUUUCGAUAAAAAACGACAUUUUUAGACCAAGGGAGUUGAAAGUCCCCAAAAAAUGCCCUUUUUUCGGUUUUUCGGCCACCGCAGAUGGCGGCGCUAUUGUCGGUGACUGGCGGUUGCCACGGUGGUCCGACACCAAAGCCAUGGCCGGAUUUUUGAAAGAAGGGGGGUUUGAGAGUGUUUUUUGACUUGUUUUUAAAAGAAAAGAGGAGAAAUAAAAGUUUUUAAAUUUUUUUUUGGUUUUAUAGAAGGUUGAAACGGCGUCGUUUUGAGCCUUAAUUCCAGUGGCCAAAACGACACCGUUUUGGCCUUAGCUCCCCUCAACCCGCGCGUCGACCCGAUCCAGGGGGAGGAUCCACGUGUUUUGCUUCAACAGGAUAUUUACGCGUGUGAUCCCUCCGCUUUUGCGAUGGUUUGCAAUUUGGUCAUUUUUCUUUCUUUUCUUUUUCUUUUAAUUUUGCCUCGCAUUUUAUUUUCAUUUCAAUUCGGUCUGUGUCAAGACGCUCGUUUUGGGAGGAUGAGGAGUAUUUCCCAAUUAGUCCCCCAUGUUAUUCGCGUGUUGCAUAUUUGCCCUUCAAUUUUAUUUUAUUUUAUUAUUUUCUUUCUGAUUUUGUUUUAAAUUCAAUUUAAUCCCUACUUACCCAAUCACAUUAUUUAAGCUUUAUUUAUUAAUUUAUUUAGCUAUUUGUUAUCCUAUAAUUUUUAUUGAGUUCUAAAUAUUAAAUAUUGUUUUUCAUAUUUUUUAUAUACAUAUUAUUUAGUUUAAACCAUUUAUUUUAUAUGUUAUUUUAAAAUUAGUUUAUUUUUGAUUUAUUUUAUUUAAAAAUUUCUCUUAUAUAUAUAUAUAUAUAUUAUAUUAAACUUGUAUAUGAUUAUUUUAACUUGCUUUAUAGAUUAUUUACAUUAAGUUGCUUUAUAUAUUAUUUUAUUUUAAGCUAUUUUAUAUAUUACUUAUUUUAAAAUUAACCUAUACUAUUUGCUUUAAAUUGAUUUAUAUUAACUAUUUAAAACAUGUCUACAUAUAUUGUUUACUUAGUUUUAUCACUUAUUUUAAUUGUUCUGCGUGUCUAUUUUUAAACUUUAUUUUAUUAUAUACUUAGUUUAUUUCAACUCUUUUUAUAUAUAAUUAUUCUUUAUAUUAAGUUUUUCAUCCCAUAUGUAUUACUUAUUUAAAUUAAUAUAUGUAUAUUAUUUUAUGUAUUUGAUUUUCUUAUAUGAUAUUUAUUUUAAAAUUUAUUUGGAUACUAUUAUUUUAUGUAGUAUUUAUUUUUAACCAUAUUUUUAAUUUAUUUCAAAUUUUCAUAUAUAUAUUAUUUAUUUUAAAUUUAUUUUAAUAUAUAAUUUCCCUUCCUUCAUGUUAUUUGUUUUUUUUUUAAAAACUUGUUGCAUUUUUUUGUAUUAAUUUGCUUGGAGCUUCGUUUAAGAUUAGUUUUUGGUUCAUUAGCUUUUGAAUAUUAAAGUUAUUAUUUGUAUAUGAUGUGAGAUAAUUGCUCUUACGUGUAUUGCAUUACUUAUCCUUAUUUAUUGAUUACUUAUCAUUCAUUAGCAUAUAAUUGUUUAAUAUUUAGCACAUCGCAUUGUACAUAGUUAUUCCAUUGCGCUUUAUUCGCUCAAAAAGUUGCGUUUAAUAUGGUUUAAGUUUCAAAAUCAUUUUAUUCAAAAGCUUUCAAGAUAAUGCAAUACUUUGUAUUUGAGAUCUUCGAGAGGAUUGAGCCCUAACGUAUUGGGUUCCAAUUUUCCUCGUUGAAUCUAAAUAAUCGAGAAUAUUCUUUAAUCAAAACACAUAAAUAAAAAGCUCAUUCUCGGGAAUUCGAUACGUUGUGUCCUAACGCAUUGGAUAUGACAUGUUGUUUUCUUGAGAUGAGGAUUUUUUCUAAAAAAUAAUAAAUGCAUUAUUCAAUGUCUGGAAUUUUGAGAAAUUGUGCCCUAACGUAUUGGGCUUCGAUUUCUUCAUCUGACUUAAACAAUUGAAUAUCCUUUUAAAUUUCAUUGCAUGAGUUUUAAAAAUCAAAAGAUCAACUCAUUUUCGAGGAUGAGAAACACCACAUCCUAUUGGAUGUGACAUUCUAUCUCCCGAAAUAAGGGGGUCUUAGCACGCAUUUUGAUUUAUACAAGUUUUUUUUAAAAGAUCAUAUUUUUAAUCUUUUUGAGUUUUCGAUAUUCAGCAUUAAGACAUUAAUUAAUCAACUAGGUACCAAUUUUGGGCGUAUCGAGUGUGCUAAUCCUUCCUCGUGCGUAACCGGCUCCCGAACCCGUUUUCUGGAUUUUGUAGACAAAAAAUUAUCGUUUUAGUAAAUUUAAACUUUUAUUAAAAUGAUUAAAUUAGGAGGUGAUCCGACCACACCUAAAUAAAAAAGAUCGGUGGCGACUCCAAUUUUCAUUUUUUAAGUCGACGCUAUAUUUUUUGUUUCCAAAAAAGUGGUUUCGACAGACCUGUAUAAACAACGAACACAAAAAGUGAAAAAUAUUAAACACACAAAUUUUACGUAAAAAACUCCUCCAAAGAGGAUUAAAAACCAUAGGCAAAUGAGGCUUCAGUUUUUCAUGAAAUGAGUAAACCACGUAGAAACCCAAACAUCGAAAAUCAAGCCUUAACUCCCAUAGAGUUCUCUCAAAAGGGGUACAAAAAUUCUCUACAUAGUUACCACAAAAACUCUCACCAAAAGCCAUCUGCGACUACAUCUUGUUGCCCCCCAAAAAAAACCUUGUAGUACUACAUCAUUAAUUGCCUUCUUAAUUUCCUUCGCCUCUGAGCUCUCUUAAGCGGCGCAUGCAGCUACAUCUUAAUUGGCACAUCAAAUUAGGGUUACAUUGGCCCUUUAAAUAAGCUCAAAACUAAAGGAAAAAUGUCUAAAAUAACCUUGAAGUAAUUAGAGUUUGAUUGGAAGAAGAAGUCCUACUUGGAGUAAAAAAACAUGGCUGCUUACGUGGAGAAUACGUUGUAUCGUCGUGACGUCCCAUGCAUGCUUGUCACGCUGUUGUCACUGAAUUAAGUUCGAAGUUUGUCCCAGCGUCAUGACGUUCACACUUCUCUCGUUGUGACGUCGUUCCUCUUCAUGAUGUCGAUGUUCUCCUCGUCGUGAUGUUAUGCUUGCUUUGGCUCUUUCUAGGUCAAUCAUCGACUGUCUUCCUAAGUACUUGCAAAGUGUCCAGUAAAUACAAGGCACACUCUACAAUUUCAAUUGUAAAUGUUUGAUUCUACACUUUGUUCUAGUUCUUUAUUUGUGCUAUAAUGGUUUAAUUCUACACUUUGUGAUUGCUCUAACGUAUAAUUAUAUAUAAUUUGAUUGAAUUUGUAAGCUUUAAAAAAAAUCUUCUCAUUUACUCCCAUUUCCAUGUGUAGAUUCCCUUCAUGCAUAAUUGCGCUCUAUUUAUAGCUAACAUUUUUACAAUUAAAAUUAUAAAAAAUAUAGAUUCAAUGUCUCAAAAUUAAAAUAAAAGAAUUAAAAUUUUAAAAAGUAUAAAGGACCUCUAAUAUAUUUUUGGUUCAAUCAAAACUUAUUUUACAUAAUAAUUUGGGAUAGAUCUCAAAAUUAUACAUAAAUUCGAUUCAAUGUGCAAUUUGAUAAUGAACUUUGAUUUAGUUGUGAUUCAAUUGUAUAUAUGAAACUUCAAAUUUGAUUCAAUCAUACACAUUUAAAGAAAUAAACACAUCAAUUUAUUUAUAUACUGGAUAUAGAAACAUAAAAGGCUGAAUUAUUGAUAUAAGCUGAAUUAUUGAUAUUUGAAAUAUCAUACCCACAAUGUAGAUGAAAAAACAAUGAUAUUUGAAAUUAUUAUUUGAUUUUAUAAUAUUAGAAAUCACCAUACCCCCACAAUAUAGGUGGAGAAAAUAAAAAUUUGACAUAUAAAUAUUAUAUAUUAAAAUAUAUAUAUCUAAAUAAUUAGUUAAUGUUUUUAAAAAAUAAUUACAUAUUUAUUAGUUAAUUUUAUAGAUAAAAAAGAUAUGAAUUAAAAAUAAAAAACUUAAAAAAUAUAUUUAUUAAUUAUAAACAUUAAUUAAAAAUAAUAAAAAAGCUUGAAACAAUAUGAAAUAAAAAAAUACAUAUUAAAAUGCUUAUAAGAGGAAUCGAACUUUAGAUUCAAAGAUAAAUUCACAAUUAUCUAACCAUCUAACCAAAAGAGCUAAUGUGUAAAAAAUAUUAAUUAAAAAUAAAAAUAAAAACUUAAACAACAUGAAAUAAAAAAUAAAAAAGUGAGUAUGAGAAGAAUUAAACCCAUGACUUAAUGACAAAAGCACUAACAUUUAACCAUCUGACCAAAAGAAUCGAGUUGUCAACUUUCAGUGAAAAGCAUUCAAGAUGCGUUUUCAGUUGACGUGGCUGAUAGCGCGUCCUAUAGGAUGCGUUUUCCUUUUUCUCUUCAAAAACAACAUAGAUCAAUAAAUUAAAAAAAAAACACAUUUACUUAAAAAAAAUUUUCAACAUAUAUUGAUAAUUUAACCAACAUAAAAUGAUGCUAUAUCAAUAAUUAUGCUAAUAAUUUGUAAGAAUUGAAUCAAACCAAAAUUUCAUUUAUAAAAUUGCACAAAAUCAAAAUUCAUGUAUAAAAUUGCACAUUAGACUGAAGUCCAUAUAUAGUUUUGAGAUUUAUAACUUAUAAUUUAGGGAAAGGGUAAACUAUACCACGUGUCACCCAACUAUGGGUCAUUUUCUUUUUUAGUCACCUAACUAUGAUUUUUUUAAUUGGUGUAACACCCUAAACCCAACCUAAAAGUUAUAAUCGAAUCUAGGGAAAUUACAUUGACUCACUUGGAAAACUAAUUUCAGUAAGUAUUAAGCAAAUAUGACUUUCGCAAAUAGUCAUUAGAAAACUAUUUAUUCGCUUUCAGAAACCACUUAAGAAAUUACUUAAUUUGCAGCGGAAAACCUUUUUUGGAAUUUUAGUUUUGAAAAUCAAAAUUUGUUUUGUCGACUUAAGUGAUUUUGCAGUUUCGCGUUAGAAAAUAUCAAUUACUGACGAAUUAAGCAAAACCCAAAACGAGUUUAGAAACAGAUUACAAACCCAAAAGAUCAAAACAAAUAAUUACUAAAUUCACCAUAUUUACAUUAAGCGCAAAAACAAUCUAAGCUCCCACACGCCGUCCAGUCCUAAGUUAGAGGUUUACUUGAACAGACAAAAAUAAAACAAAAUGGUGGGCUAUGAAGCUCAGUGUAUAACUAAACUAAAAAAAAAUCAAACAAAACAUCAUAUACAAAUCAGAGUAACGCAAAGAAUUUCAUAAUAAUCAUAUAACUAGAGCGGAACAAAUCAAAGUGUCACAAAGAUUUUCAUAACGAUCGUAUAAUGGAAUAGAGAAUGUAUGAUUAUGCCAAUGUGGUGUUUUUCAGAAAAUCAAAAUGCAGACUUAUCAAAAAAAAUUCUACCCAACUCUGCUACACACCAAAAUAAAAUUUCUCCAGAACUCAUCCAACCAAAUCACACCAAUAGAUAAUUGGAGACAGUGCCACCAGAAUUGUAGUUAAAACUGCCAGAUCAGAUAUAUGUAGUCAAGCCACUAUGUUGCAGCUAAGUUGCCAGAACAGAUGUAUGUGGUCGAGCCACCAUAAAUGCAGACAAGCUGCCAAAUAGAAUUGUGGAUAAACCACCAAAUAAUGGAGGUCAUUGAACUGCCAAAAACUUCUUCCUUUCACAUCAUCUUGAACCCCAUGGAAUGUGUCAUGACAUGAAUACAGGAUUAGAAUGAUAAUCAUGUAAGACAUGAUGUUGUAUAAUAAUAGAAACAGAAGGCAUAGAAAUCCAUGCUUUGCAAAACAACUUGAUCAAAUCUUAAUGAAUCAUAACAAAAUUUUCAUGAAGUCACAUGCAUGGUUACAUAUCAGAAUCAAUAUCAAACACAACAACUUAUUCGAAUAUCACACAUUCACAACCAGCAAUGUAAGAUAGAAAUGUACCAUCAAAAUUAACAGAGCACAGAUCAUACCUAAAUAAAUAACAUACCUUAAACACAUCCCAAACUAAAACACAUUAUACGCUAACAGAUCUUGUUUACUUAACUUAUAUCAUAUCAGACAUAUGCACAGAUAACGAAUUAUUCAUCAACAGAUCAUCAAAAAUUAAGUUUUAUGGCUUGUUUCAAAUCAUAUGGACCCCAUGGAAGGCUUACGUUUGAGUCGAACGACGUUUACGGUCAUAGGGAAAAAUUCUAAUUUUUGGCCCACACGGCCGUAUGGAUUCACACAACCUACAUGGCUGGCCUGUGUGGCCCACAUGGCCUAGCACACUCCCGUGUAACUCAAGUCAGAGAGUCACACGGUCUAGACACACGCUCGUAUCAUUUGCCAUUGUGACUCAAUCAAAAUAGUCCUUCACACGGUCUGGACACACACUCGUGUGACCCAAGUUAGAGAGUUACAUGGCCUACCACAUGGCCUGGCAUACAGUCAUGUGGCGUCGGCAAUCACGAAGUUUGGCUUUCGUCGUUUGCAAAAUUCUCGAUUUUUGUUACAUACCUGGUUCGAUUUUAACGUAAAAGCAACAAAGAUGAAUUCUGAACCCUAAAAAUAAGAAUCGAACCUUGAUCAAACGAUUUCCAUAACCAAUUCAAUAUCUUCUAACCUGAUUUUUGGGAUGUUACAAUUGAUCACCUAACUAAUCGAGAUUUUUUAUUUGUCCAUUCCUGUUAAUGACACUAACGAGAGGGUGGCGUGUUAAUUGAAAAAUUCGUAUAAAUUUAACCCUCAAGUUUUACAUAUCUUAUCGAUUUAGUCAUAAUUUUAAAAAAUUAACCCUUAAAAUUUACAAAUGGUCUCAAUUUAUUCUAAUUGUAAAAAAUUCAAAGAAAUAUAUAAAAAUAUGUAACUAUUUUUAAAAAUAAAUAAUAAAAUUUAAAAAUAUAUAAAAAUAAAUAAUUUCAAAAAAAUAUAGUAAAACUAAAUUUUAUAUUAAUAUUAGAUCCCCCCCCCCCCUCCGCGUAUUCAUUGAAUUCUUCCUCGUAGGUUUGCGGGGAAGCUGUUGCUUAUGUUAGACAACUUGAGUUCUUUGUUAGAGAGGCACCAGAUGGAAUGAAAUCCAUGAGCGCAGGGCUUUUCCUUACCACCAUUUCAAUGGGGUUCUUUGUGGGCAGUUUAUUAGUGUAUAUCGUGGACCAUACGACUAAAAAGAGCUGGCUAAGGACCAAUCUGAAUAAAUGCAAGUUAAAUAACAUUUACUGGUUAUUUGCAGUGUUGGGAUUUAUAAAUUUAUUGGUCUUUCUUAUGCUUGCAUCAGGACAUCAGUACAGAAAGCAUCUGCCCAUUAAACCUGAGUCAAGAGAGGAGCUUAAGAGCUUGAACAAUGAAAUGAUAGAAGACGUGGAGAAGAAGACAAGCAUCCAAUCAUUGGAAAAUAUAGAGCCAUAGAAUUGGUGGAGGGGAGGAUUCUUUUAAAUUUAAUAUUAAAUUUAAUAUUAAUAUUAAUAUAUAAAUUAAAAUUAUUAUUAUAUUUUUAAAAAUAUUUAUAUAUUUUUAAAUUUAUUAUUAUAUAAUUUUAAAAUAUUUAUGUAUUUUUUUUAAAAAAUUUUAGAAUUAGGAUCAAAUUAAGAUUAUUUAUAAAAAUUGAGAAUUAAUUUUUUAAAAUUAUAACUAAAUCAAUGUAAUAUAUAAAAAUUGAAGGUUAAAUUUAUUAUUAUAUUAAUUUUUCAACAGUCACAUCAUCCUCCCGUUAAUACAAAUAAUAAAAAUUGAUAAAAGAUGAUCUCGAUAAAAUGCCUAAUUGGAUGAUGAAUUGAUAAAAAAAAUACCCAUAAUUGAAUAACGUGUGAUGUAGAACAAAUUGGUUGUUUAAUUAAUAGCACAUAACAAAAGUCUUCUUAUUAUUUUCAUUUGAAACUUAUCCUUAGAAAAAGUGAGAAGAAAGGACCGUUGGGAGGGGGCCAUGGGCCCAAUAUUUUGUUUGCAUUCCCAUGUCAAUUUUUAUCGUCACAAGAGUUUCCUGAUUAGAGAUAGCAACGUGGCGAAGGUGCAGUGGUUUUUUUUUCCUUCUUUUCCCCACACUGACUCUAGGGGUGUGCAUAAUUCGGGUAAAACCGAAAAAAUUCGGUUAACCGACCGAAUUCGGUUAAUCGGUCGGUUAACCGAAUUUUUUCGGUCGGGAGUCGGUUAAUUUUUUUAUGAUUUUUCGGUUAACGGUUAAUUCGGUUCGAAACCGGUCUGUUAACCGAAAAUUUUCGGUUAACCGAAAAAAUUAAUAAAUAAAAUUAUCCAACCCAACCCAAACUCAAUUUCCCAACCUAAUAAAACUAAAACUAAAGUUUACCCAAUUACCCAAUCCAAUAAAACUAAAACUAAAAGACAACCCAAUUUACUAAAGUCUAAAACCCAAUUUACUUUAAUAAUUUAUAAUUUUUAAAAUUUUAAAAAUAAAAAAUAAAAAAAAUUCGGGUAAUUCGGGUAUUUUUCGGUAAUUCGGUUAAUUCGGUUAAUUCGGGUAAUUCGGUUAAUUCGGGUAAUUCGGGUAAUUUUUAACCAAAAAUAAAAAAUACAUAAUUUUCGGUUAAUUCGGUUAACCGACCUUAUUAACCGAAAAAAUUUCGGUUCGGUUAAAUUUUUUUUUAAAAAAAUCGGUUCGGUUAACGGUUAAAAUUUUUGGAAGGUCGGUUAAUUCGGANNNNNNNNNNNNNNNNNNNNNNNNNNNNNNNNNNNNNNNNNNNNNNNNNNNNNNNNNNNNNNNNNNNNNNNNNNNNNNNNNNNNNNNNNNNNNNNNNNNNNNNNNNNNNNNNNNNNNNNNNNNNNNNNNNNNNNNNNNNNNNNNNNNNNNNNNNNNNNNNNNNNNNNNNNNNNNNNNNNNNNNNNNNNNNNNNNNNNNNNNNNNNNNNNNNNNNNNNNNNNNNNNNNNNNNNNNNNNNNNNNNNNNNNNNNNNNNNNNNNNNNNNNNNNNNNNNNNNNNNNNNNNNNNNNNNNNNNNNNNNNNNNNNNNNNNNNNNNNNNNNNNNNNNNNNNNNNNNNNNNNNNNNNNNNNNNNNNNNNNNNNNNNNNNNNNNNNNNNNNNNNNNNNNNNNNNNNNNNNNNNNNNNNNNNNNNNNNNNNNNNNNNNNNNNNNNNNNNNNNNNNNNNNNNNNNNNNNNNNNNNNNNNNNNNNNNNNNNNNAAAAAAAUAAUUUUAAAAAGAUUAAAUCAAAAUUUUAUUAAUUUUAAAGAAUUAAAAUAUAAUUUAUUUUUAUCAAUUUAAAAUUUUAAAAGAGCUAAAUAAAUUUUUUUUCAUUUUAACAAAAACGGUCCUGCCAGCCCAGCACCUAGCUUGUUGUAUAUAAUAUUAUAAAUAUAGUUUAAAAUAAUAAACAUUUAUUUCUAGAAAAUGGAAAUGGAAUUGAACCAUUAUUGUGUUAGAAAAAGUCAAAAAAAAAAAAAAAAAAACUCCUUGAGAAGGACAAUAUUCUCAUCCAAGGCAGCUCGGAUUCCUAUCAUUUUACCCUAAAGACAUCAACUUUAUCUUCCUUUUGUGUUCAACGUUCAUGAUUUUAGAGGCCUAAUCUUUUAUUUAAUGAAAUACAUCCAAUUUUAUAUAAGGGUCCACUACCCGAAGUCCUUGGAAACUUCUACAUUUUCUUGCACCGUAUGUAUGUAUGGGUAGAAUUUCCAUUUUUCUUCUGCAUGCAUGUGCCAUGCCCCAGUACUUGGCUACAAAAUUAAAGCUAAAUUGAAUCAAUCACUCAAUAUAAUAAUAUCCUGCUGAAAAACCAUUCUAAAUUGGUUUAUGCAUUUAAGGUCAUGACCCUGUUUUCAUAAGUGUAAAUUUUAUGGAUUCUGAUUAACCCGUACAUUGACUAGAUUUUUAAUUACUAUUAGGGCCCUAACCCCACUCCCUCACUCUACUGUAAAACAAGAUUUUCAUGACUAAAAACCGCAGAGAAUCACGGCUUAACCCCUAUAAAUGCAGUCCUUAGAAAGACUCAGCUUCACCACCUUUCUUUAAGUCUCUUACAGCUAAGCUUUAAGCAAAAUAUGGGGUUUGCAGUAGCAGCUAAAGCUGCCUUGCUCCUGCACCUUUCCCUUUUCGUACUGAGUAGCUUCACGGUGUCCUCUCAGAUCUUGCCUGAGGCUUUGCCUCCUCAUUACCAUGGAAUUUCGCCUGUAGUGCCACCUGCUCACCCACCAAGCCACCACCACCACCACCACCAUCACCAUUCCCAUCCGCAUCCCCACCCGCCAACCCCUUCCCCUACUAAGCCCCCAACUCACCCACCUGUUUACCCCCCGCCCAAAGCACCCAAGAUUGCUCCAGUUUAUCCACCACCCAAGUCACCAAGCAAGCCGCCAACUUACGCUCCUCCACCCAAGUCACCCAGCAAGCCGCCAACUUACGCUCCUCCACCCAAGUCACCCAGCAAGCCGCCAACUUACGCUCCUCCGACCAAGCCACCAACUUACGCCCCUCCACCCAAGCCACCAGUUUAUCCUCCAACUAAGCCACCGACUGCGCCCCCGACUAAGCCACCAGUGCACCCACCAACAUAUCCUCCACCAUCGCCUUCUCCACCUAAGCCGCCAACUUAUCCUAAACCACAAAGGAGCCUAGUGGCUGUUCAGGGCGUUGUUUUUUGCAAGUCAUGCAAAUACGCUGGAUCUGACACCCUGUUGGGAGCGAAGCCUAUUUUGGGUCAGUUUGAAACCUAUCAUUAUACUUAAAAAAAGAGAUUAAAAUUUACAUCUUUUCACUAAACAAAAACUUUAAGUGCAAUGCUUGGUUAUAUUCAUUUGCAUCGAGAAUUAUUAGCCCUAGUACGUCUAUCUUUUUAAUGGCCUAAUAAUUUUGAUUUAGGCAUGCAUGUGACUUCCAUGUUUGUUUGAAAGGGGAAACUUGCAUUUUAAAUUUGAGUUCAGAGAGAGAGAGAGAGAGAGAGAAAUGGUUUCUUGGAUUUUAACUUAAAAGAGUGACUGUGUGAGGUAACGUCAAUAGCUUGGCGUUUUAUGAGUUAAAGCAGCAAACUUUACCUUUUUUCAACGUUAGAGCUCAUACUUCUAGGUUCCUACAACAUCAAUGACUGGCAUGCAUUGCAUUGUCAUGGAACCCUACGUUGAAACUUGAAACAAAAGGAAAAAACCCAUUAGCUUCUUUUUCUUUUCCCAUUGAAGAGUUAAUUAAUUUAAAACUAUACUCGAGUAAUACUGACUAGACUGAGCACAUUGGUUUUGAUUUUUAUAGGUGCCACUGUAAAGCUGACAUGCAAGAACACCAAAUACAAGCAAGAGGCCACUGCGAAAACUGACAAGAAUGGCUAUUUCUUCCUGCAAGCACCAAAGACCGUCACCAGCUUUGGAGCCCACAAAUGCACAGU